rnacentral:rRNA from 1 species
UGAAUAUACCCGAUCUCGUCUGAUCUCGGAAGUCAAGCAAUCUCGGGCUUGGUUAGUACUUGGAUGGGUGACCGCUUGGGAAUACCAAGUGUGAUAAGCA